rnacentral:piRNA from 1 species
UAUACAACCGGGUCAGUCUUUGGACAUGUAC